rnacentral:rRNA from 1 species
UUGAAAAGAACUUUGAAGAGAGAGUUCAAGAGUACGUGAAACCGUUCAGGGGUAAACCUAAGAAACCCAAAAGAUCGAACGGGGAGAUUCAUCGUCAGCGUCGCUGGCUUCGCGUCGGUGGGCGAUGCGCCGCGGUUCGUCCGCGGGCACGCUACCGUGCGCGCAUGUCCGGCGUCGUCGUCGUGCACUUCUCCCCUAGUAGAACGUCGCGACCCGCUGGGUGUCGGUCUACGGCCCGGGUGAGGCGACUGCCGCGUCGUCGGUAAAACGACACGCGGCAAACCCUCGGAUGCCCGGCCGGCUGCCCGGCGGUACUCGCACGGUAUCAGGCCGCAAUGUGAUAUUUGCGUCAAGCCCGUCGCAAGCGCGCGCCACGGUUACUCGGAGGUACGGACCCAGCGCCGUCCCCGGUCCUGGUCCGCUGUUGGCCGACGGUGACCCUUUGACAGGCCUUCAACGGGGCGACGCGGAGGUUAAACUUCGCGCCCGCCUCGAUACCGGUCGGCGACGCUACUGCUUUGGGUACUCUUAGGACCCGUCUUGAAACACGGACCAAGGAGUCUAACAUGUGCGCGAGUCAUUGGGACUAGCAAAACCCAAAGGCGCAAUGAAAGUGAAGGUCGGCCUUGGCGCCGACCGAGGGAGGAUGGGCCGCGUCGCGAUGCGGCCUCGCACUCCCGGGGCGUCUCGUUCUCAUCGCGAGAAGAGGCGCACCAAGAGCGUACACGUUGGGACCCGAAAGAUGGUGAACUAUGCCUGGUCAGGACGAAGUCAGGGGAAACCCUGAUGGAGGUCCGUAGCGAUUCUGACGUGCAAAUCGAUCGUCGGAACUGGGUAUAGGGGCGAAAGACUAAUCGAACCAUCUAGUAGCUGGUUCCCUCCGAAGUUUCCCUCAGGAUAGCUGGCACUCGGCCGUUCUACGGAACGCGCGCGAGUCUCAUCUGGUAAAGCGAAUGAUUAGAGGCCUUGGGGCCGAAACGACCUCAACCUAUUCUCAAACUUUAAAUGGGUGAGAUCUCUGGCUUUCUUGAACGUUGAAGCCACGAGAAUCUCGGAUCAGAGUGCCAAGUGGGCCAUUUUUGGUAAGCAGAACUGGCGCUGUGGGAUGAACCAAACGCAGAGUUAAGGCGCCUAACUCGACGCUCAUGGGACACCAUGAAAGGCGUUGGUUGCUUAAGACAGCAGGACGGUGGCCAUGGAAGUCGGAAUCCGCUAAGGAGUGUGUAACAACUCACCUGCCGAAGCAACUAGCCCUGAAAAUGGAUGGCGCUGAAGCGUCGAGCCUAUACUCUGCCGUCAGCGGCAAGUGGGGCGGGGUCACCGCGUGGUAAAACACGCGGCCCCCGUCACGAAGCCCUGACGAGUAGGAGGGUCGCGGCGGUGUGCGCAGAAGGGUCU